UGGAGAGCCUGUUAAUGAAAUUGAUAGAAAAAGAUUUGAGGGUCAUGAGAACGAUAACAAAGUUAAUGGAGCAACUUCCACAUCGAAACAAGAAGAAACUGUCUGGGUGGAGGGUCUUCUCCCUGGCAUUGACUUUUGCAACCAUGACUUGAAGGCAGUGGCAACAUGGGAAGUUU